AAAAUUGUGAAGCUUCUUUUGUAUUGAAAUUGAGGUAAUAGCUUCUGUUCUUGUUUAAUUAUAUACCCUUAAAAAGUUUCUGACUUUCUUAUUUACUCUCCUUAGAAGGUUAAUAUAAAAAACUCUUUUAACAUUCUAAGUUCUUUCAAAUAUAUUAUUAGAGUUAAAUUUUUUUUAGUGUACUAUUAGAAACAGCCGUUAUCUCUAUGAAAUUAUUAUUUUGUCCUUUCAAAUAUAUUCUUCUAUCGUCACAAACUCUUUUUAAUUAUUUGCACUUAA
rnacentral:lncRNA from 1 species